rnacentral:rRNA from 1 species
UACAGAGGUCCCAAGCGUUGUUCGGAUUCAUUGGGCGUAAAGGGUGCGUAGGCGGCGCCGUAAGUCAGGUGUGAAAUCUCGGGGCUUAACUCCGAAACUGCAUUUGAUACUGCGGUGCUUGAGGACUGGAGAGGAGACUGGAAUUUACGGUGUAGCGGUGAAAUGCGUAGAUAUCGUAAGGAAGACCAGUGGCGAAGGCGGGUCUCUGGACAGUUCCUGACGCUGAGACACGAAGGCCAGGGGAGCAAACGGG